rnacentral:rRNA from 1 species
AUUGUAGUCUGCAACCCGACUACNUGAAGCCGGAAUCGCUAGUAAUCGCGGAUCAGAAUGCCGCGGUGAAUACGUUCCCGGGUCUUGUACACACCGCCCGUCACACCAUGGGAGUCGGAAAUGCCCGAAGCCGGUGACCCAACCCGAAAGGGAGGGAGCCGUCGAAGGCAGGUCGGAUGACUGGGGUGAAGUCGUAACAAGGUAUC